GCGUGAAUGUUGUAGUGGAAACAUCUUGGGUUACCAUGCUGAGAAGGCCCCGGGUUCGAUUCCCGGUUCACGCA